UAGUCCACGCCGUAAACGAUGAGCACUAGUUGUGGGGAGUAUUAAUCCUUCCUGCGACGUAGCAAACGCAUUAAGUGCUCCGCCUGGGGAGUACGGUCGCAAGACUAAAACUCAAAGGAAUUGACGGGGGCCCGCACAAGCGGUGGAUUAUGUGGUUUAAUUCGAAGAAACGCGCAAAACCUUACCUAGGUUUGAAAUCCCGAGAAUCCGGCCCAAAAGCUGGAGUGCCCUUCGGGGAAUUCGGUGACAGGCGCUGCAUGGCCGUCGUCAGCUCGUGUUGUGAAAUGUUGGGUUAAGUCUCGCAACGAGCGCAACCCCUGUUCUUAUUUGCCAGCAUUAAGUUGGGCACUCUAAGGAGACUGCCAGGGUUAACCUGGAGGAAGGUGGGGAUGACGUCAGGUCCUCAUGGCCCUUAUACCUAGGGGCUACACACGUAAUACAAUGGACAGUACAAAGGGGAUGCAAGCUCGUGAGAGUUAGCAAACCUCAAAAAAGCUAGUUCUCAGUCCGGGAUUGAAGUCUGCAACUCGACUU
rnacentral:rRNA from 1 species